CAAAUAUCCCAGAAUGCAUUUCACCUCAGCAACAGGCAGCGACGCCAGAGGGAAAUAAUACAACGUUAUAUUUGAUCCACGUGAUGUGACUUUGGGACUUUUCAGGCAGCGAGUCAGUUGUUUGAGCGACUCGUCUGUAGUCAGUUUGUCCACAUUGAGAACUAUGACCUCCAGCAGGUGGGAGAUGUGACGCGCGGCUCCAGACGGACCGUCUACCAGCUUACUGGUCCCCCCUUGCUGUCUGGGUUCAAUGUGUCGGCUAUUAACACAAUAAAUUGGGCGCGUGCAACGUCA